rnacentral:rRNA from 1 species
GCGACGAGGCGUGAAGGAAGAAGUAUCUCGGCAUGUAAACUUCUAUCAGCAGGGAAGAAAAUGACGGUACCUGACUAAGAAGCCCCGGCUAACUACGUGCCAGCAGCCGCGGCAAUACGUAGGGGGCAAGCGUUAUCCGGAUUUACUGGGUGUAAAGGGAGCGCAGGCGGAUGCGGCAAGUCAGAUGUGAAAACCCGGGGCUCAACCCCGGGACUGCAUUUGAAACUGCCCGUCUUGAGUGCCGGAGAGGUAAGCGGAAUUCCUAGUGUAGCGGUGAAAUGCGUAGAUAUUAGGAGGAACACCAGCGGCGAAGGCGGCUUACUGGACGGUAACUGACGUUGAGGCUCGAAAGCGUGGGGAGCAAACAGGAUUAGAUACCCUGGUAGUCCACGCGGGAAACGAUGAAUGCUAGGUGUCGGGGGACGAAGUCAUUCGG